UCACAUCAUUUACAAAAGAAGGUAAAUAACAAAGGCAAGGUUGAAGGUUCAAUUUGUAAUGCGUACUUAAUUAAAGAAGCAUCAACUUUUUGUUCAUAUUACUUUGAGCCUCAUGUGAACACAAAGUUAAGAAAAGUACCUCGUAAUGUUGAUGGAGGAGAGGUUGAAACAUCUGAAGGUCUUUUAUCAAUAUUCAGUUUUCCUGGUCGACCAUAUGGGCAAGCAAAAUCAUGACGUUUGACUGAUAAAGAGUACCAUCAAGCUCAAACUUAUGUCUUACUAAAUUAUGAUGAGGUUCAACAAUAUGUCAAGAUAUUUGUGGAAGAGGUGGUGGAAAAUACACCUAAUAUAACUGAUGCACAAGUUGAUGAUUAAUUGGAAAAUGAAUUUACUAACUGAUUUAAGAUUUAUAUAUGGCUAGAUGUAAAGAAAGGACUAGAUUAAGAGGAGGAAGGAGUGGAGGCCGCACUUCUCAUGCUCAUUCAAUCAUUGAAGGAUCAAGCAAUGCUGAUAGUGUACCAUUUUCAAAUGCCACUAUUCCAAGUGUUGAGGAAAAAAUGAAUGGUAUUGAAUCUCAACAACCGAAUCAAAAUGUUGUAGCUAUUAGUGAUACUCAAGCAAACUAUGAUAGCACACAAGAUGCUUCAACCAUUGUUGGGAGGUUACAUAUCACAGUUGUGAAUUGAUUAAGCACUUUAUUUGGGAUUCCUCACUAGAGGCACAAAUAAAGGAAGCUUGGAUUUUGAAAGCCUCACAAUGAUAUAGUGAUUUUUUGAGGGAUAUAAGGGACGCAACAACAAAGCCAGAGUAUCUAAGUGAGGAGGAGUACAAGCAUUGGAAAGCUGUCUGGGAUAGACCUACAUUUAUGAAGAAAAAAGAGAUAAAUUCUAAAAAACAACGUGGUAUUGCUGGGCCAUCAUGCUAUACAGGAGGGUCAAAAUCUAAUGUUGAGCAGGGGAAGAAGCUUGAAUCUAAAUUGGGUCGAAAGCCACUCCACAUGAUCUUUUUUUGCAUACUCAUACCACGAAACAUGAUGGGGAAACUUUUGUAGAUCUCAAGUCAAAGACAAUCAAUGAUAAGAUGUUGACUUUGAAACAACAUGCAAUUUCUAUAGAAUCUGUAUCAACAAACUCAGGAGCUACUACAGUAGAUGAAUUGGCUCUUUAUAUUAAAGCUGUUGGUGGAGAGAAGAAAAGAAAAGUCUAUGCUCUUGGUUCUCAAGCAUCUUCCCAUUAUGGAUGUUCAAAUUCAAAUGUCAUUAACUCAAAUGCAACAUCUACUAUGAAAAAUAAUGAAGAUUUACAAAAUUAGUUAGCAUAUGUCCGUAAUCAACUACAAAUCCAACAAUAGCGGCAUCAACAAGAGCGUCAAGAAACUCAACAAGAGCUUCAGCAAACUCGAGAAGAGGUGGUUGAAAUGAGGAGGAUGUUACAAUUACUUAUAUCUCAAAAUCAAGCACCUUCUCAAAUAAAUCAAUCAGGUCAUGAUGAAGAUGUUGAUCCUACUCCACCAACUUAGUAGUUAAUGUUCUUAUCUUGUGACAUAUUUCUCAUAUUUGUUGCUUCCUUAUGAUACUUUUGAGUUUUAGUACUUGCCACUUAUAUUAGCUAUAUGUGCUUGAAGCUAUUUUGAAUAUGAAUUAUGUUGUUUUUUAA